CUUGGAGGCUGAGGCAGGAGGACUGACACCAGCUGGAGACCAUCCUGGCCUAUAUACAGAUGAGUCAGUUCCUGGUUCCCUCAGGAUCCAGGGCAGAGGAAGCACUUGUCUGCUCUCUGGUGGCUGAUGCAGGAAGAGCGUCCUUAGUUGGCUAUUCAGCACUCCCAGCAUCCCAGAGAAAGCCCACGGAGGCCCACAGAAGACACAGGGAGAUAUUUGCUGAAUGGCAA